CCCUUAGAUGUUUUGGGCCGCACGCGCGCUACACUGAUGAAUGCAACGAGCUCUACCCUUGACCGAAAGGCCCGGGUAAACUUGUGAAACUUCAUCGUGAUGGGGAUAGAUUAUUGCAAUUAUUAAUCUUCAACGAGGAAUUCCUAGUAAGCGCGAGUCAUCAGCUCGCGUUGAUUACGUCCCUGCCCUUUGUACACACCGCCCGUCGCUCCUACCGAUUGAAUGGUCCGGUGAAAUCUUCGGAUUGCUGACCAAGAUCCAGCAAUGGAGCUUGGUUGCGAGAAGUUGAUUAAACCUUAUUAUUUAGAGGAAGGAGAAGUCGUAACA
rnacentral:rRNA from 1 species